AGCAUUUGGCAGACGUCAUUCUCCAGGGCAGUUAUCUCAUUUACACUCACAAACCGCAGAAAUGACAGCUUUGGUGGUGCUAGGAUUUGAGUUUAUGACUUUCUGAACUAUCCAACAUUUUAAACAGUAAGUUACCACCUCAGAGAUACAGCUAUGCAUCGGUAAAUGAAGCUCGCACUGAUUCGGCACCAUGAAAUUGGGCCUUUGCAGAUUUCCUCCUCUACCAGACUGCAGCUUAUCAGUGUCUAGUGAAGAUACACAGUGAAAUGGCUCCUUGUUUGAACUCCAUUUAUUAUUAUUUUUUGCAAGCAUUAUCUUUUUUCAUUCUAUCUGUUCAAUCAAGUGAGACAAGAAAACUGUAAGUUUAGUAAGUUUGAAAAGGUUUAGCUUUUCUGUUUACUAUGUUUGAUAUUUAGAGAAAACAUGACAUCAACCCAGUAGAGCUUCAACUUGAAACACUAAAAGAAUACUAAAUAAAGAAUUGUGGCACCCCGUCA